GAAUCAUGGAUAAACCCACAUUUUCCUCAACCAGCUUCUUCUAAGGAAGCCCAGGUGCCCUCUUUGCAGCACAGUAAAGGUUUGGAGCCCUGGUGUCAGCCCAGAUGUGAAAUCUGUCCCUGCAAGGCAGACACGGGCUGGGCACAUGUCUCUGCUCAAUCACAGAGGCUCCAGUUUGGCUCAGCCACCUGCAGCCUGGGCAGAAGGAUUUCUCCUUUUCCCAGGCUUCAGAAGAGAGUCAGAAACCAUCAGGUGGUGUGACAAAGUGUCCUCCAUCAAAUAAUUGCUGAGCCAGUUGAUCAAUUUCAAUCAAGUGGGACAGAAGGAGAGAGGUAUGAGACAUGAAGUUUAGGAAGAAAACAGGUUCUUCAAUUGUCGAUAAAUGCAGUAAACAACAGGCUGCUUUCUCUCAGAAGAAGUUAUAUGAAGUUGUCAUCCAUUUGACGACCUGCAGUAGUGGAAAUCUGAACUGUAGUUUGGUUUUUUCACCCUCAUGGCAGAGUUAGAAGGAAUGAGAGCUCCUUCCCUGGGCCUUGUAUCUCCUCCAAGCCCACAGCUUGGCUCUGCACGUAGGAAAAUGUGUGAAUGAUCUAACUCUGUCUCCUCAGCUUCCAAAGAAGAAUUGAAUCAACUGAGGCUGUGGAUGCAUGAAAGAAGGUGGUGAGAGAAGGAUGAAGAUAGAUUCUCCUCUGGUGAUGCACAGAGGUGUUGUGCCCUGUGAUCUCCAGCAGCCUUUUGUGUCACAGCCCAUGCAGACCAGACCUGCUGUUGGGGUGGA